rnacentral:rRNA from 1 species
UACGUAGGGUGCGAGCGUUGUCCGGAAUUAUUGGGCGUAAAGAGCUUGUAGGCGGUUUGUCGCGUCUGCUGUGAAAAUCCGGGGCUCAACCCCGGACUUGCAGUGGGUACGGGCAGACUAGAGUGUGGUAGGGGAGACUGGAAUUCCUGGUGUAGCGGUGAAAUGCGCAGAUAUCCGGAGGAACACCAAAGGCGAAGGCAGUGUCCUGGGGAGUACCUGACGCUCAGGUGCGAAAGCCAGGGGAGCGAACGGG